AAAUCCCCAGUUGCCUCCAUUUCUAACAGUCUACUUUUCCCGCUCCCAAAAACCCUUUCCCGAACAACCAACCAGUCCCUCUACCCGAACAACUCGAAAUGGACAUCACGUAGAUAAACUGGCGUCGAUGCUGGAGUGGAGGCCAAAGAUUGCAUCAAGAUUUACCUGGUUUCUAGCAAAGAAGAGGUGGGCGCGCGCUUCAAACAGUUUUUGUUUAGAUCCAGUUGACUUGAAUAACUUUUUGAGGGAGAUGGGAAGAUAUAUGGUUACAAAGGAUUGAAGAUUACCAUAUGGGUUAGCAGUAUAUCAUUUGAUGCAUAUGCUGAUAUUGCAUUUGAGAGCACAGCUGAUGCAGGCAAACGGAUCACAGAUUUGAAAUCAGCUCUUGAUCGUAUGGAUUGAUUACCAGUUUAUAUCACCAGUUCAGUUUACUAUGUUGUUGUUAGUUCUAAUGAUUAGUUGCUAGUGUUCUCCAGAAAGUUUUUGGUGAGACCCUUGUUGACAGUCAAGAGGAGAGUUCCUUCAAACCGUUUCAGCUCAGAGAAAUUUCAUUUAGUAAUGGAUUGUGGAUUCGUAUAUUCAGAUCAAAUAUAAGUUUAUACUCAUGAUUUUCAGUUUUUUGUUUUAUACUUGUCUCCAUGAGUUUCUUCUUUGAAAUGUUUGCAGAUCCAUUAUCUCAGAUGGGGAGGUGUUGCAGCACAAGGCUUCAUCUACUUCUGAUGUAGAGGUGUUUUUUUAUUGCCAAACUUUUCUCUGUCAUAGAUAAAAAGCAGAAGUUUGUCUUGCAUUUGUUAACAGCAUUUCAGGUUAUUCGCAUGGUUGUGGGCAAGACAGCUGCUGGACCCCUUUACAGUCACUUGAUUCAUCUUGUUGAUGGUGCCAGUCCAAUUGAUCUUCUGGAUCCAAGUUGGGAGUUGUAUCUCCUGGUCGAGAAGAAAACAGAUGAGCAAGGGGGCAUCUACAAUAUAUUGCUUGGCUUUACAGCUCUGUAUCGUUUUUAUCAUUAUCCUGACAGUUCUCGGUUGCGACUUAGCCAGAUCCUGGUAUUGCCUCCUUACCAGCAUAAGGGUUAUGGACGGUACAUUCUAGAAGUUCUCAAUCAUGUUGCAGUAUCAGAAGACAUCUAUGACUUCACAGUAGAAGAACCAUUGGACUAAUUUCAACAUGUACGCACUUGUGUUGAUGUACUACGCCUUCAGAAAUUAGAUUCUGUUUGCAAUGCAGUCAAUUUGGCUGUUUCAAAUCUGACACGAGGAAAACUGUCAAAGAAAACGAGCAUCCCUCGACUGAUGCCAGCCACAAGAGUCAUUGAGGAUGUGAAGAAAAGGUUGAAAAUCAACAAGAAACAAUUUCUUCAAUGUUGGGAUGUUUUCACCUAUCUUGGCCUCGAUCCAGUGGACAAGUACAUGGAGGAUUUUGUGAGCAUUGUUUCUAAUCGGAUGAAGGAAGAUCUCAUAGGAAAAGAAUAUGGGACUGGUGGGAAGCAAGUAAUUGAAGUUCCAAGCGAGUACAUACCGGAGAUGUCAUUUGUUAUGUUCAAGUCCAAUGCAGGUGAAGCUACUAGUACUGUUCAGGUAGAUGAAAAUCAACCAAAUCAGGAGGAGCAACUCCAGCAGUUGGUUAAUGAGAGAGUGAAUGAGAUCAAAUCAAUAGCAGAUAAAGUAUCUCAGCAUUGCAUAAGCAUUGUGGAGUCAUCUUAAUGGAGUCUGAUUUUCGGUGCCUUUGCAUGUGAUACCUUAAUGCAACUGUAGGUUUGGAGUGGUCGGGACUUAGGUUGCGGGAUACAGAGGCUUGCGUUGUAAUUGAGCUCUAUGCUUGUACUGUGUUAUUUUUGAAUAUUUUAAGAACUCUUACUUUUCAAGAAAUUCAGCAGCUAAUGCUUUUCCCUCUUUAAUUAGUUACCCUUUCUGUUGUUAUUUCAAAAAGAGAAGUUGUUUUGAUAGCUACUGUUGGAGCCAGGAGCCAUAAAAUGGCCCCUAGAGAUUAGUGACAGUUUGCUCGUCUCUAGUUUCUCUUAUCCAAGUACAGUAGGUCAGUAGCUGAUAAGAGUAGUCUCGGUAGUCAGCCCGGCCUCGAAAUACAGUAUAGACUAGUGAAAGUAAGUAAUUCUGUCACGAAUUUUUACCUCUAGUUUGCUAAAAAUGCCUUCUUAUCUUUGCCUUAUUUGUUCUCUGUAGUAUCUUUUCUUUCAUAUGUUUACAGUUCAAGACCGUCAAAAAAUCUUUCAUAUCCAUAUCAACUACACUAACUUCCAAUGAAUUUUCAUGAGGAGUAUCUUUCAUUUUGUAGAAGCCCAUUUUUACUAAUAAUUUUGUAUAUAAUAUUAUAUAAAUUAUUAAUUAUAGCAAGUAGUAUGUUAAAAAACUAGAGUAAGUGACUUGAUGUUUGGUACUGGGGGCUGGAAUGUUGAGUUAAUUGACAGGUUAUUUUCAAGUGAAGAAGCCGCUUUGAUCACGGCGAUUCUGUUGAGUAGACGACAUGUGGUACACAGAUUGAGUUGGAAACUGUCAAGAGAUGGUAAAUUCAGUUAAGUCUGCCUAUAGGUUUGCUUUUGCUCAUUCUUCGAGCUAUAGUCCCCUGACAUUACCGGUGUGAGCUUCGUUUUGGAAGAAAUUGUGGAAGGCCUCCAUUCCAAACAAGGCUAAGAUCCAUAUCGAUCUGGAGGGUCUGUCUGGAUAUAUUACCCUCUCUAGGGAGUAUGGCUUCGAAGAGAGUAGUAUUGGACCCGGAAGUUUGUGUGCUGUGUGAGAAUCACGGGGAGACGACAACCCAUCUGUGCAGGGACUGUCCCAUUACGAGGGUAGUAGUGCAAUCCAGGGACAUGUUGAAGUAAGGUAUUGCUUGGACAGUUGGAUGAGUUCCAGUGCUAAAGAAUUGUCCUUGAGUAAUGUUGGGGAGCUUUUGUUUCUUUUAUGGCGAGUUUGGAAGGAGAGUAAUGAGAGAGUGUGUAACCAAAAAAGCACUGCUGCUGGUGAUGUUAGUAUCCUUCUUACAUCAAGACUUCAGGAGUUCAGGUUUCAUAAUCUGAAACAAACUCAAUUCCACACUAGCAGAGCUCGAGUAGGUCGGUGGUGUGCACCUGCAGUUGGUUUUUGGAAAAUCAAUGUAGAUGGAUCGUUUAACCAUAUUACGAGGAAGGGUGGCCUUGGUUUUGUGGUUCGUAAUGAAUUUGGUCAUCUGCUGACCGGGGGGGGUCUUAAUGGUCUUAUAUCACCGGAACAUGCUGAAAUCCUUGCUUACAAGAGAGAUGCGGAGUUUGCAGUUGAUCAUGCUCUAAUACCAGCUGUUUUGGAGACUGAUGCUUCGAAAGUGAAGCGGCAACUCACACAGCACACUUCUUCAAACACAUCGGUGUUGGGAAGAAUCUAUGAUGAUGUGGGCAGCUUGUUGGAAUCGUUGACGGGUAUCAGUGUUAGCCGGAGAGGCAAUCUAGUUGCACAUAUGUUAGCAGCACAUGCCUGCACUCUUGGGCAGGAUUCUUUUUAUUUUUCUACUUCCCCUUUUCUUCAAUUUGCUAUUGCAGAAGAGCUUUGUAAUGUUUGAACACUUUUCAUUUCAAUAAAGGGCUGACAUCUUUGAUUCAAAAAAAAAAAAAAACAAAGGUUAAAAUAUGAUAUCAAUGAUUAAGAUGAUGUCAUGUGAUAUGUAAAAUGAAACAUUAAUACAUUGAUGAACUGCUAGAAUUUUCUGCUUUCUAAGAGUUGUAAUUUUUCUCUUUGACCUAGCUCUGUUAGGGUUUACUCGAAGACGGCCGUUUUCGACAAAAUCUCAUUGCCAUGGAUGGUGGUGGAUCUGCAACUAGGUGGGCAGGGCAUUGGUCCCUCUUUUCUGGUUGGCGUGAGGGUAGCCAUGGCGGGGUUCGUCGACCUUUUUCCCUAUCUCUAGGUCUUUGGUUGUUCAUUGCUUUCGCUGUCGUGGUCGCUGGGCUGGGGAUGACUCUUGCAUCAUCUCAGGUUCUAAUUUCUUUUGAUGACAUUUUAGUGUUGGAUUGCUUCGCUCUUGGAAGCGAUGGGGAUCUGAUGGUCUGCUUGACGACAGGGCUGGGAGUUUGAUGUCUACUUCGGAUUUGGGUACAAGACCUAAUGCGGCGAAGGUGUUUGCUUCGAUGGUGGUGUGGCGGUUUGGUGCAGUCCAACCAGAUUUGUGUAUUGGCUUUUUGGUUGGUAGAAUGGUGGACACGGAUGAUGGCGAUCCCGACAUCUAUACGGACGAGGGUUGUCUCUCAGUGGAUGAUGGUGGUGCUUGGUGGCCGAGGGCUCUCUCAAUUCACUUCCCAGAUCACUGUUUGUCUGGUUUUGGAGGCUUGUGGAAGAGUUUCUGUAAUGGCGGAGGUUCUCCAAACGGAAGCUACUACGGCGGCGGUCAAGGUGGAGGCGGCAGCUGGGAGGUAACCUUGAUGGAGGCUUCUAGGGUUUAUGCAACCUUGGAUUGUUGGACUCCAUAUUGGUUAUUGGGCUGGAACUAGACUGGGUUACUUUGGGUCCAAAAGGCCCUUAGGGUUCUUUUCUUUAUUCUCUUUUAUGUUUUAAGUUUAGUCAUCCUUCCUUAUUCUUCAAGGAAUCUAUGACUACUCAUUCGUCAGCCUCUACUGUUGUGGAGGGAUCGGUGGAAUGUGAUGGCUCACAUUCUACCAAUGUUUUAGUUUAAUUUUGUUUUGGGUCACAAAAACCAAUGUCUUAGUUGAAAUCUUUUUAUGUAAGCUUGGAGGUUUCUUGGUUUUGUUAAAAUAAAGGUGCGUAAAUUUACUAAAAGUGGGUAUACUCGGGAUUUUUUGGGGUUUUAUUCUUCUAGAAUAGGGUUUCAUGAGGUUCUUAGGAACGAUUCUUUCUCUUUACCCCAAAGAGAUGUUUCGUUUUAGUACUGCUUGCUGAAUUAUAAUGAAAGGGCUGACCUAUUUCCAUCAAAAGAAAGAAAUUUCUGCUUUCGAAACUCCAUUAUGCUAAGAAAAUUAGAUGAAGUAGGUCUUAUAUUUUAAUGUCUGGGCCUCAAAUUUGUAGGAUAUUUUUGUAGGCCUCGGAUUUCAAUAUGGGGUUUGAAACUCAAUUUUGAUGGACUUUUAUUCCAAAUAAAAGAGAAUAAUUUUGGUGAAUCCGAAUAAAUUUGGAUCCGGCUCACUUUGGUUCCAAAAUUGGAUAGCUUUCAUAUUUUGUUUAUUAUUAGCCGUUGAUGCAUACCAACAAUCAAUGAAAGCCGUUGGAUCUGAGUCGAAAGUGAAAAAACCCGAAGAGGGUCACUUAUAGGCCCUCAUUCCCGAAAGUCCGAAACAGCCUCUUUGGCCCUCUCUCUUUCACGACGCCACUCUCUCAGUCUCUCUUUCUCUCAAAACCCAGCCCCAAUUUGUUGAUUCCACGAUGCAAACCUCACCAACAUAAAUUAUAACCCAUAUAUCGUUUGAUUUUCGAAAUCCCCAAAUUUUUCGAAAACCCUAGAAUCCUAGAUCAGUUGCUUCACUUGCUUGGUUCUAGUAGUGGUUCAGACUUCAGAGCAGUGUUCUAAAAAACGUUUAAGGGCUAGGAGACCAGGAAAAUCGUUUUGCAGUUAGGCGGGCCACCAGGCUGUCUGGGGGGCGCCUAGACGAUUUGCGCGGGCUGGGCGGUGGGCGGACUGACGUAAAUUAUACCCACAUCUCUCUCACCACUUACAACUUCAGCUCCACUAACCUCUCCUCCUCCUCUGAAUCGCAGCAAGCCACCUCCACGUACACUCAUCCGGAUCGUUACGCCGGUAAGGGGCCAUUUGAAGAAAACUGCAACUGCUAUGGAACAGAUGCAAGUGGAUGUGCAGAAAGCCACACUUGCUGAGCAGGCUAUCGAGGAGCACAUGAAGAAAAUGGCAUUUUCUGGUCAGGCUACGGAGGAGCAAAUGAAGAAAAUGCAGGAUUCAGUCAGCAUAACCUCCGGCAGCUGUAACAACCACAAUUUGGACUCUAUCAUGUUCGAUAAUCCUGUUCUUCAAUAGUUCAACCUCAGUUUCAAGUCCAACUGUAGCCCGAAUCAGAGGUAGAUUAUCAAGUUUUUUUUUCCUGCAAAUGGAAGCGUCAUGUGCUUACUCUCAAGCGAAGACAGAGGAUCAAACUUUUUUCCUGUAAAUCUUAAAGACGGAAUCCUCUUGUAUAUCUUUAAAUUGCAGUUCUCUAUAUUGGUGACUGAAUCCUGCAUUUUCUGCUCAGGCUAUGGAGGAGCAAAUGAAGAAAAUGCAGGAUUCAGUCACCAAUAUAGAGAACUGCAAUUUAAAGAUAUUCAAGAGGAUUCCGUCUUUAAGAUUUACAGGAAAAAAGUUUGAUCCUCUGUCUUGACUUGAGAGUGAGUACAUGAUGCUUCCAUUUGCAGGAAAAAAAACUUGAUAAUCUACCUCUGAUUCGGGCUACAGUUGGACUUGAAACUGAGGUUGAACUAUUGAAGAACAGGAUUAUCGAACAUGAUAGUCCCAAUUGUGGUUGUUACAGCUGCUGGAGGUUAUGGUAAAACCCUCCUUGCCUUAACAUUAAGCCAAGAUAAAGAAGUGAGAGAUACGGUCCGCAACAAUAUCAUCUUUAUCAGUUUUCCAAAGAAGGGAAAUUUGCAGUGUAUCGUACAACGAUUGUGUAAACACAAAGGUAUUCCCUUUCCUGAAUGUGGAGAAGAAUUACCAGAUUUACAGGUAGUUCAGUUCCUGGCAUAAUUUCUCAAGAAAGUAUGGACGCAGCCUCUGCUUGUGAUUAUUGAUGAUAUUCGUAGGGGAUCUGAAUCUGUUCUGGAUUGGUUUGAUUUUAUACCAGGAUCAGGACACCGCAAGAUUUUGGUGACGUCAAGAUUCGAAAUUCCAAGAUUUGGUAUUCCCUUUCAUCUAUAUGGGUUGUCUGAGGACGAAGCUAUGGCACUGCUCUGUCAUUCAGCAGGCUUGGCAUACUUUGAUAAGGAAGACAGAAACAAAUCUCGUAUGCGUGAAGGCAUGACCGAGUUCACAACAGAAGCCCGGCAGAUAGUAAGCCAUUGUUCCGGAUCUCCCCUUGCCAUAACAGUGGUGGGGAAAUCGCUUUGUGGGAAACCUGCACACGUUUGGAGAAGGAAAGCAUUCGAAUUGGAUUAUCAUAAUACUAUUUUAGACACUGACAUUACUUUGUUGUCGUGCCUCCAAAGUACUUUUGAAGACAUGGAUAAAGAACUCCAAGCUGCAUACUUGGACCUUGCCGUACUCCCAAAUAAAUUUUUGGACUGUCUUGGUACUGCAGUUGAUGUAUGGGCAGAGUUGCAGAGUCAUCUGCUUGAUAAUGUCCUUUUCUGCACUACAACUUUCCACGAACUGAGCGCCUGGCAUUUGGUAUUUCUUCAAUACUCUUCGGAUAAAAGGUUCUUUCAGAAUGAGAGAAUAGAUGAUUACUGGUUCCGUCAUGUUCGACUUGUUCAGAGAGUAUGCUUGCUGCCUAGCCAGUUUGGAUCCAAUAGAAGAGAGACAGAGAUUGAUUUUAGAAGUAUUUGGAAAAAAUAUUCCCAAGUGGUUGAGAGAACUGAAGGAUCAGCCAUUGAAGGCGCAGCUACUGUCUAUCUCAACAGGAAUGUUGUGUGUGGCAAAUAAUAGUACUAUAAUUCACAUUUAAUUUCUCCCCACGCACUCACAUUAAAUACCGGUGUGGUUUGCAGGUGAAGCUUCCUCAAGUGAGUGGCCGGACUUGAAUCUACCAGAAGUAAAGGUUUUAGCUUUACAUAUCGGGGCCCAUGUCUAUCACUUACCUAGAUUUGUUGAGAAGAUGCAUAAGUUAGGGGUUUUGGCAGUUGAUGCUGAAAUACUUCAGUUUCUUGAGGGAGAGCAGAUACAAUUUUCUGAUUUUGAACUACUUGCUGGGUUAUCAAAUUUGCAGAGAAUCAGAUUAGAGAACCUCUCAAUCAAUCUCAAGGGGAGCAAGCCCAGGCAAUUGAGAAGUGUGAAGAAGCUAGACAUUAAGAGCUGCAGCUUCAUGAGUGAUGAUGAUCUACCUUUGGAACUGUGUGAUAUGUUUCCAAACUUGGUGCUACUCACCAUUACUAACUGCUUUGUCUCUAUUGCUGAUCUGAAUCAUCUAAGAAGCCUUUCUCUCAUAGACUGCUGUCCCAUGAAGUUGGCUUGAAUAUAUUGGUGAUUUAGUCAACUUAGAAAUACUGAAGAUUGCAUCUCCAAUGAACAAGUUGCCACAUACAGUUACUAACCUAAAGAAGUUAGGUACUCUUGACUUAUCUGAUUAAAGAGUUGCCUGCAGAUAUUGCUGAUUUGAGCAGCUUGAGGAGGCUUGCCUUGAGAGGAUGCAGGAGUUUGACACAGAUUCCUCCUUCUGUUAUUGAUCUCCAUCAUUUAGAGGAGUUGAUAAGUAAUGCACAGUCAAAGAAGUUAUGGGAACCCUAUCUCUCCUCUCUGGGAAAAGUUCUCCGGGUAGAAGACGAAGAGUACAUUGGGUUGGAAAAGCACUACGACAUAAAAGAAUGGUGGGAACAAGCCCAGGAGGAGCCCCUUGAUUCUUGGGAAGAAGCCAAGGAGAAGCCCCUUGAUUCUUGAUUCUCGGAGGCAUUGAUUCUUCUCCAUCAGUCAUUCAGUUUGUGUAUUCUGGUGCAGCCUUGGGAGCAGGCACUUUUUGGAACUCUGGGUUUUUUUGUAGGCAAAUAUCAACUCCAAAGACCUGAAAGAGGCAUUGAUUCUUCGACAUCAGUCGUUCAGUUUGUGUAUUCUGGUACAGGCUUGGGGAGCACACUUUCUGGAUUUUUUUUUUUUUUUUGAUGUAGGCAAAUAUCAAUAACAAAGACCUGAAAGAGGCAUUUAAGAUUGAGAAUUGAUCUAUACAUUGGCUGAUUGGCAAGGGAAUGAGCUAACGGAAUCAUUGUUAUGA